CACUUGCAGUUCCUCACAGGCUGGUGUAACUGCCAGGUUAAAAAGCUUCCUCUUUUCUUUACAACCCACUUCAAGAACUAAUGCAUCAAACAGUAUCAGCCCCAGGGCAGACUCCUGCAAAUGUCACAUUGCCUUGAAGUUCCUCAAGAUGGUUCAAAGGAGGAUCACAAAAGCAGAACUGCAGAAGAGUUACAAGGUAGGACUAAUUCUCUUUAUUAGAAAUAAAGUUGUGCUGAGGUACUUUCAAGGCUGAGAUGCUUACUAGGCUCAUACUAAUACUUUCAGAACUGGGAAAGAGUUUUGUCUCUGGGUAGACAAGAACUCUUGCUUCCUUCAGCAGUUACGGGUAUGGUUUGCCUGCUGAUAUCAUUCAUCUUGGCUUAGUUAGUAUCUGUCACUACUGAGAGCCAAACCCUUGUCUAUGCUUGGGACAUACACUUCAAUCAUCUGAGAAUGGAAAUAUUUUGUGAACAGAUUUAUGUACAGGUACCUGGGUAAAAUCUAAUGGCCCCUUACCUCCAUAGGUAAGAUCAAAUUAGAUGAUUUAAUGCAAUUGUAAUAGCUUUCAACUACUAAAUAUUAUGAAGUUUAAGAGUAAUAUAUCUAAGAAAAUUUCUUCAGAUUUUCUGUUCUGUUUCACUAGUAAGUUUGCCCCUUUUGAUUAUUUUACUCCAAGUUUAUAUUAAUGUGCAGUUCUGAGUUUUGUGGGAGACAUCCAUAUUUCACAGAAUAAAAACAAACAUUUCAUUGCAACCUCUGAUAUGAAGCCACAUACUGACAAAUUAUAGUUGUGGGUUGCUGAUUUGGAAAUUCUUUUCAUACACUUCAGCAACACAAGAUCCAUGUUAGAGGCAAAUAAUAAUUUGGGUCAAAUUCUGCUGGUUCAAGUAAACUGAAAGUCUUUCUUGCUUGUUUUACAGAAUUAGUCUUUUACAUGUUAACUUCUUAAAAAGCUUCAAUUUUUACAUAAAGCUGAAUCACCGUUCUGGUCUUAAGUUACUUGUAAUAUUAAAUGCUAAUAUUUCUUUUACACAAAAGAAGGUCUGAAUGCUGAGAUAUUUUCAAGGUGGCUGAAUCCUAUUAUCAUUUAUACUAAUUCAUAGACAGUCUAAAAAUGCUGGGAAAAGAACUCCAAAGGCAUGCUUUGCCUUCUUGUAACCACUGCACUGCAGCUACACAAAACCCUUUUUGUGGAGUAAGAGAGUUGGCCUCGUCUCUUAGAGGCACCUUGAAAAGGAAAUAUGCUUACAUAAAAAUAGAAAAAUGUAUUAUUUUUUGCAUGUUUUUUUGGGAAUUAGCUGCUGACCCUAAAUGGCUAAAGAUACUGCAAUUUCAAAGUCCUCUGUGCACUUUAAAAAACAAAACAUCAGUGUAUACUCAAAAUAUAACCAUGUUUCUUAGACAGAGGUGUACUAAAUUGUCCCCUAGUCCAUGCCAUUGUUCCAGUGACCCAAACAUGCUGUGGAACAUAAUAAUCCUUUAAGCUGUUUGCAGCUGAUGGCAUUUGCUUGCUUCAGACUUCAGUUUCUCUCUGAUAAAAAUAAUCUAUUAGAUAAAAGCAGACUUUUUUUCAGUAAAUGCACUGCUUAUUGUCUUUUUAGUAACACAGAGAUGUAAAAUUAUAUUAGAAAUGGGGGGGGGGGAUCGUUCACUGAAAAAAACUUGUUCUGUUAAACUUGCUUUAGUUGUAUCUUUACAUAUUUAUCUCUUUCCAGUUAAAAAACUUUAAAGAAUUUCAGUUUUUCUUAUGUUUUUCUGCCCUGUCCUACUCAGCUGUGAUAUAAGGCAACUUGAAUGACAGAGGCAUUGAUGUCUUGAGCCCUUGUGUCAGACUGGUUUUAUAUGUAGUAUUCUCACAUUUGGUCAGACAUUUCGUCGGCUUUGUGUUCAGUCAUACAAACGUUGUGCUGGUCCAAGACCAGAGAGGGGUAAGAGUUUAACCUGUUGUUAUCUGCACUGCUGACUGACAUAGUAUUUUAAUGAAUUGCUGGGUUUCAGCUGAAACUGUGGUGCCUGUUCCAAUGUCUUCCCAAGCUGCUUGAAAGAGCAUCCUUAGUCCCAGGCCAGGCUUAUCUUGGUCAUCUCUGUGGUACUUGCAAGUGUCUCGGGAGACAGGCCAUGCUCAUUCCUUGCCACUUCAGGAGCCUGGAUUGGUCUCAAAGCCAGAAAGGGAGAAGUAAAAGAGCCCAGCUGCCUGAGGGAGUUGUUUUUUUCUCAGCCUGUGACUGAUAGAAUGAUUUUCUUUAUCUUUCUUUUUUGUCCUGGUAUAGAGGAUGAAAUGCUCUACAUGGUAGCUUAGAGAAAGUAGAGGUGAGAUAGAGAAGAGUAGAAUGAACUUGGCAGCAAGUUUGGUUUGGGGUCCACAUACUUGACAAGUACAGAAUAACAGAAUUCUUGUACAAAAACUAAAAUUGUCUUUUUUGCUAUGGUCGUGUUUGGAAUAAGACUAGAUGUGAUUAAGAUACAGCUAGUAAAGUUAUACCUUACCUCCAUCAUUUUCUCAUUCAUGGUCACAUGUAGUUGUUAGAAAGAGCCAACAGAAAUAGUAUGCAAUUAUUAUAAAAUAGCUCAAGUAGAUUAAAUAGCUCAAAAGUAUACAACUUAUCAAAAUUAUGUAGUGAAAUGAGCUUGUGUGUGCAAAUUCUAAAAAAUUACCUGUCAUGCUCAGCUCACACAGAGAAGCCACACAAUAUAACCAUGUGUUUCUUUGUUAAUAGCUGAAGUAUUAAACCUCUGUAGAACAAUCCAACAACAGGCUGCUUUUUAGGGAACAACUGUAUUUUAUUAGCAGAGAAGUUGAACUUUAUUAAAAUAACUACCAAGAUUAAAGAUUACCGGAAAUAGGCAAGGGUGUAUUUACACUCAGGUGGGUUUUCUUACUAUUUCUUCAAUUAGUAGUUCUUAUUCAAGAAAGUUGUGCCUGGGAAAGCAGCUCUUUCAAGAACUGGGUCACAAUUUCUAUCAUGGCAAAUAUUUUCCACUAAUUUCAGGUCUUGGUUCUGCCAACUAACCAAAGAGACAUUCCAAACAGAAGAUCCAAAGGACACUACGUGUAUUUUUGUCAUUUGUCUUUAUGUUUUCUCCAAAUGUAGUAGUGGAUUCUUCAUAAUGUAAUCAUUGUAAUGUAUUGAAAUAAAUUUAUUCUUACUUUUCUCUCA